CUACGACCAUAUCACGCUGAAAACACCGGUUCUCGUCCGAUCACCGAAGUUAAGCAGCGUCGAGCUCGAAUGAGUACUUGGAUGGGUGACCGCCUGGGAAUACCGGGUGUUGUAG
rnacentral:rRNA from 1 species